rnacentral:rRNA from 1 species
AUUGAACGCUGGCGGCGUGGAUUAGGCAUGCAAGUCGGACGGUAGAGCUUUAUCGUAAGAUAGAGUUUGAGAGUGGCGAACGGGUGAGUAACACGUAGGAAUCUACCCUUAAGACGGGGACAACCCAGGGAAACUUGGGCUAAUACCGGAUGAGAGUGCGAGAGAUUGCAUUUAAAAGGAUGGCGAAAGUUGUCGCUUAGGGAUGAGCCUGCGGUCUAUUAGUUAGUUGGUGGGGUAAUGGCCUACCUAGGCGACGAUCAGUAGCCGGCCUGAGAGGGUGAACGGCCACACUGGAACUGAGACACGGUCCAGACUCCUACGGGAGGCAGCAGUGGGGAAUAUUGCACAAUGGGCGCAAGCCUGAUGCAGCGACGCCGCGUGAGCGAAGAAGGUUUUCGGAUCGUAAAGCUCUGUCCUCUGGGAAGAAAAAAAUGACGGUACCAGAGGAGGAAGCCCCGGCUAACUACGUG